rnacentral:rRNA from 1 species
AUUGAACGCUGGCGGCAUGCCUAAUACAUGCAAGUCGAGCGGACACAGGCGGCGCUUUCCUGUCUGCCGUUGGCGGCGGGCGGGUGAUUACCACGUGUAUCCCCUCCCUGUGGGAAUCGGAUAACUACAGGAGCGCGGAGCUCAUACCGGAUAAGAUGUAGAACCGGGUGGCUCAAUAGUGCACGAGGGUUUAGCUGUCCCUUAUAGAUUGUUCCGCGCCGGAUUAGCUAGUUGGUAAGGUAACGGCUUACCAAGGCAACGAUGCGUAGCUGAUCUGAGAGGGUGAUCGGCCACACUGGAACUGAGACACGGUCCAGACUCCUACGGGAGGCAGCAGUGGGGAAUCUUGGACAAUGGGCGAAAGCCUGAUGCAGCAAUGCCGCGUGAGUGAAGAAGGUCUUCGGAUUGUAAAGCGCUUUUAUUAGGGAAGAAGAGGUGUUGGUUAAUCCCUGGAUGUAUUGACGGUACCGAAAGAAAAAGCAACGGCUAACUACGUG